rnacentral:rRNA from 1 species
UCGAACGAUGAAGCCCUUCGGGGUGGAUUAGUGGCGAACGGGUGAGUAACACGUGGGCAAUCUGCCCUUCACUCCGGGACAAGCCCUGGAAACGGGGUCUAAUACCGGAUAAUACUUCUUCGGGCAUCCGAAGAGGUUGAAAGCUCCGGCGGUGAAGGAUGAGCCCGCGGCCUAUCAGCUUGUUGGUGGGGUAAUGGCCCACCAAGGCGACGACGGGUAGCCGGCCUGAGAGGGCGACCGGCCACACUGGGACUGAGACACGGCCCAGACUCCUACGGGAGGCAGCAGUGGGGAAUAUUGCACAAUGGGCGCAAGCCUGAUGCAGCGACGCCGCGUGAGGGAUGACGGCCUUCGGGUUGUAAACCUCUUUCAGCAGGGAAGAAGCGCAAGUGACGGUACCUGCAGAAGAAGCGCCGGCUAACUACGUGCCAGCAGCCGCGGUAAUACGUAGGGCGCAAGCGUUGUCCGGAAUUAUUGGGCGUAAAGAGCUCGUAGGCGGCCUGUCGCGUCGGAUGUGAAAGCCCGGGGCUUAACCCCGGGUCUGCAUUCGAUACGGGCAGGCUAGAGUGUGGUAGGGGAGAUCGGAAUUCCUGGUGUAGCGGUGAAAUGCGCAGAUAUCAGGAGGAACACCGGUGGCGAAGGCGGAUCUCUGGGCCAUUACUGACGCUGAGGAGCGAAAGCGUGGGGAGCGAACAGGAUUAGAUACCCUGGUAGUCCACGCCGUAAACGUUGGGAACUAGGUGUUGGCGACAUUCCACGUCGUCGGUGCCGCAGCUAACGCAUUAAGUUCCCCGCCUGGGGAGUACGGCCGCAAGGCUAAAACU